GGGCGAAAGCCUGACCCAGCAACGCCGCGUGAAGGAUGAAAUCCUUCGGGAUGUAAACUUCGCAAGAACGGGAAGAAUAAACCUGCGUUAACAUCGCAGGUGAUGACGGUACCGUUUGUAAGCUCCGGCUAACUCCGUGCCAGCAGCCGCGGUAAUACGGGGGGAGCAAGCGUUGUUCGGAUUUACUGGGCGUAAAGGGCGCGUAGGCGGCCUCUGCAAGUCAGUUGUGAAAUCUCCGGGCUUAACCCGGAAAGGUCAACUGAUACUGCAGGGCUAGAGUGCAGAAGGGGCAACUGGAAUUCUCGGUGUAGCGGUGAAAUGCGUAGAUAUCGGGAGGAACACCAGUGGCGAAGGCGGCCAUCUGGACGGACCCUGACGCUGAGGCACGAAAGCUGGGGGAGCAAACAGGAUUAGAUACCCUGGUAGUCCCAGCCGUAAACGAUGGAUGCUAGGUGUUGGGGGUUUCGACACCCUCAGUGCCGCAGGAAACCCAUUAAGCAUCCCGCCUGGGGAGUACG
rnacentral:rRNA from 1 species